CAGUCGCCACGGUAAUAUGUAGGUGGCAAGCGUUGUCCGGAAUUAUUGGGCGUAAAGGGCUCGCAGGCGGUUUCUUAAGUCUGAUGUGAAAGCCCCCGGCUCAACCGGGGAGGGUCAUUGGAAACUGGGAAACUUGAGUGCAGAAGAGGAGAGUGGAAUUCCACGUGUAGCGGUGAAAUGCGUAGAGAUGUGGAGGAACACCAGUGGCGAAGGCGACUCUCUGGUCUGUAACUGACGCUGAGGAGCGAAAGCGUGGGGAGCGAACAGGAUUAGAUACCCCAGUAGUCCCUGUCUCUUAUAC
rnacentral:rRNA from 1 species